GAUGAAGAACGUAGCAAAAUGCGAUAAGUAAUGUGAAUUGCAGAAUUCAGUGAAUCAUCGAAUCUUUGAACGCACAUUGCGCCCGCUGGUAUUCCGGCGGGCAUGCCUGUUCGAGCGUCAUUUCAACCCUCAAGCCCCCGGGUUUGGUGUUGGGGAUCGGCUCUGCCCUUCUGGGCGGUGCCGCCCCCGAAAUACAUUGGCGGUCUCGCUGCAGCCUCCAUUGCGUAGUAGCUAACACCUCGCAACUGGAACGCGGCGCGGCCAUGCCGUAAAACCCCAACUUCUGAAUGUUGACCUCGGAUCAGGUAGGAAUACACGCUGAACUUAAGCAUAUCAAUAAGCGGAGGA
rnacentral:misc_RNA from 1 species